UCAAGCGUUGUUCGGAUUCAUUGGGCGUAAAGGGUGCGUAGGCGGCGCGGUAUGUCGGGUGUGAAAUCUCGGAGCUUAACUCCGAAACUGCAUUCGAUACUGCCGUGCUUGAGGACUGGAGAGGAGACUGGAAUUUACGGUGUAGCGGUGAAAUGCGUAGAUAUCGUAAGGAAGACCAGUGGCGAAGGCGGGUCUCUGGACAGUUCCUGACGCUGAGGCACGAAGGUCAGGGGAGCAAACGGG
rnacentral:rRNA from 1 species